GGGUCUCUCUAGUCAGACCAGAUCUGAGCCUGAAAGCUCUCUAGCUAGCUAGGGAACCCAC
rnacentral:pre_miRNA from 17 species